CCCACCGUGGGUGGUUCUUGGGCCGCGCCGGCACUUGCUCAGACGUAGGAACUGCCGGCGUGCGUCCCGGAGCCUCGCGACGCUGGCCAUCCGUGCCACUGGCAGCUUAGAGGCAGCAUGGCCACGGUGGCAGCGGCGGCCCGCGGGGCCGGGGCGAGGGCGGCGGCAGGGCUGCGGAGUUGCGGCGGGGCCGUGGCUCGAGAACGACCGCGCUCGGGCUGCGCUCGGCGCCUGUGCUCUGCCCCGGCUGCCCCGGCUGCCGUGGACAUGAAAAGCUACCUGUGGGCGCGCUACCACGAGGCGAAGAGGAGCACGGACGAAUUGGUUCCAUCCAUCAUGAACAACUUGCUGAAUCCAGACGCCAUUUUCUCGAACAAUGAGAUGAGCCUGUCAGACAUCGAAAUAUAUGGCUUUGAUUAUGAUUACACCCUGGUAUUCUAUUCCAAGCACCUCCACACACUCAUCUUCAAUGCUGCCCGGGACCUUCUCAUCAACGAACACAGGUAUCCUGUGGAAAUCAGGAAGUAUGAGUAUGACCCAAGCUUUGCCAUCCGGGGACUCCAUUACGACGUCCAGCGGGCAGUGUUGAUGAAGAUCGAUGCUUUUCAUUACAUCCAGAUGGGGACAGUGUACAGAGGCCUCAGUGUUGUCCCUGAUGAAGAAGUCAUAGACAUGUAUGAGGGGUCCCACGUGCCCUUGGAGCAGAUGAGUGACUUCUAUGGAAAGAGUUCUCAUGGGAACACCAUGAAGCAGUUCAUGGAUAUCUUCUCGCUGCCCGAGAUGACCCUGCUGUCCUGUGUGAACGAGCACUUCCUGAAGAACAACAUUGACUAUGAACCUGUGCACCUGUACAAAGACGUCAAGGACUCCAUAAGGGAUGUCCACAUCAAAGGGAUAAUGUACCGAGCAAUCGAAGCGGAUAUUGAAAAGUACAUCUGUUAUGCUGAUCAGACCCGUGCAGUGUUGGCUAAACUGGCUGCCCACGGCAAGAAGAUGUUCCUCAUUACCAAUAGCCCAAGUAGCUUUGUCUCACCUGGCUGCCUUGUUCCAGAGACAAAGGGAUGCGGUACAUCGUGGGGAAGGACUGGCGAGACCUGUUCGAUGUGGUCAUAGUUCAGGCCGAGAAACCCAACUUCUUCAAUGACAAGCGGAGGCCUUUCCGAAAGGUGAAUGAGAAAGGUGUCCUACUCUGGGAUAAAAUCCACAAGCUGCAGAAAGGCCAGAUUUACAAGCAGGGCAAUUUGUAUGAAUUUUUGAAGCUCACUGGAUGGAGAGGAUCCAAAGUACUGUAUUUUGGUGACCACAUCUACAGCGAUCUGGCGGAUCUGACCCUCAAGCACGGCUGGCGCACUGGAGCGAUCAUCCCCGAGCUCCGUUCCGAGCUCAGGAUCAUGAACACGGAGCAGUACAUCCAGACCAUGACCUGGCUGCAGACCUUGACGGGGCUCCUGGAGCAGAUGCAGGUCCACAGAGACGCCGAGUCACAGCUGGUUUUACAGGAGUGGAAAAAGGAGAGGAAGGAGAUGAGAGAAAUGACCAAAAGUUUCUUCAACGCCCAGUUUGGGAGCUUGUUCCGAACAGACCAGAAUCCAACCUACUUCCUGAGGCGGCUGUCGAGGUUCGCUGACAUCUACAUGGCGUCUCUGAGCUGCCUUCUGAACUACGACGUCCACCACACAUUCUACCCCAGGAGGACUCCUCUGCAACAUGAGCUCCCUGCAUGGUCGGACAGCCCGUCUGCCUUCAAAGCCCCUUUGCUGCAGGAGGCUCAGGCCAAGUAGUCCUGUGUUUGCCUGAGGCAAAAGCCAGAAGCAUUCGUGGCCUCACAGAGGGUCAGGCAGCCUCAGAGUUGCUUCCCAGAGUCAGAUGCGCCUUUUGUAUUUUUUCUAUCUUACUAUGAAUACUGUCCUGUCCAGGUUGAGGCAGGAGCUGGCCGCCUGGGGCCUCCCGGCCCUUCUCCACACAACAGUGUUGAAACCCUGAUGAGACCUUGCUUAUAGUGGAACCAGCAACGUGGGCCUCUUGAUGAGUGAGACCUCUUGAUGGCUUCUGACAAGUGAGACCUCUUGAUGGCUGCCUGUGUUCCGUAGGUGGAGAGUGGACACUUCUUGAUUCUGUGAGACAUUUCUUGGUUGUUUACAAGCAGCACUGGGGACCGCAAGGGCGUGGUGAUCUGCAGCACACCAGGAAGCAGGUUCCUGAGGGAGCAGCCCUACCUGUGGCCAGUUCCCCCAUCUCCUGGUCCUAGGCUUUCAAGGACAUUUUCCCAUAAAAUUCACAGCCUCCUGGAAUGACUUUGUUGAGGGAAAACAGGAAGCAUUUGUCACAGUGGCUUUGUCUGCCCCAAAGGGGUGAUGGGUGGGCUCCCUCCUCCCUAGGAAAAGUGGGAGAAGACAGCCACUCGCACUAAAAUUGCCUUUCAGCCAGUGUUUUGGACAUUAUAGAAGACAAGAAAGACUCAGCCUGUGGCCAGGGCUAGCCUGUGUGUUAGACAUCCAGCACAGACAGCUCGCUGUGGGAAUGCCACAUUUCAUGCUGAGAGCCAAGCUGGGGAAAUUGCUUCUGUCCUUCCCCCUCUGGAGGGAUGAAUCCUUGAUUACAUCUGAUUGUAGUAGCUUUGAACACUUUUGCUGCUUAGGCACCACAGGACUGGCUGCUCUGUUAUCAACAGUUCUGUUUAAUGGCGUUUUCGUUGCAGACGCCACGUUCAUUGCAAAUGCCACGAAAGUGCUCGUGGCCAGAUUAGCCUUGUCACCUGGCCUGACUCAUUUUGUGCUCUUGUGGCGCUGCUGCUGCUGCUUCUGCUCCCCCCCCCCCCCCCCGAGUCCCCCCAGGUAGGGUCUUGCUUUGGAGCCUGGGCUGGCCUUGGACUCAAUCCUCCGGCCUCAGCCUCCUGCAACUGUGUGUGUGUGCAUGCAUGCAGAAGUGUAAAGAAAGGCAGGACCAUGACGGAGACUUGUGGCGAGCGCUUGCGCUCUGGCAUCUUAACCCGCAAUGAGUAGAUCUUAACCAGCUGUUGAGGGCUGCUCCCUUGGCCGGUUGCUGACUGCCUGGCAAUGUGCAGAAGCUAACGGAGCUGUGCAGCAUUCACUGUAAUGCUGUGUGUUAGCAUGGGAUCUUUGAUGUUGGUAGUGUUUAACAUUGUUGUCAAGGUGACCCUUCAGUCUCCCUUCCCCCUUCUUGUGUUCUAAACACGGGGGUUCAGUAUUCUGCUCCUUUUUAGAAUGAGAUGGGCAUUUUUCUGUUCCUGUGUUCCCGUUCCCCAGUGUUAGCCAUCGGGGGUUUUGGCAGCUGCUCAGUGUCAGGGUCCUAAAAGGAUGCAUGCUGCCCGGAUGCCCUAAGCCCUAACUUGUGCUUGUAGGAGGAAUCUUUGGUCGAAUUGUCUACUCUUCUGGUGUGGACAGUUUCGAGGGUUUAUUUACUCAAGAUUGAGGUAGCGAUGUUUUCUUAUGCCUACAGUAGGCGACCUGAGCCUUGGGGGAGGAAGACAUCUCCUGGGUUUGAGAAGUGAAUCUUACAGCCUAUUCCUGUCUGGAGGAUCACAGUCCCGAGGUCUCCAAGCGUGGCAGUACUGGGAUCAGCGAGGCUGUCGCACCAGACAUGCAAACUGUGAUCUGGCUGCAUGGCUGGCACGGCAUCCCUGCAGGAAGAAUGGGGCGUUUUCCCUGUUACUGUCCUCAUCUAGUGUAGCCAGGACAAGUUUUAGCUUGUCCCUGGGACUCUUGGCUGGGGUCUGACCUGCUGCGCUGUGGUAUUUUCUUCUUUCUAGAGUAUUCUAGAGUAUUUCUAGAGUAUUUUUGUACACGUUGAGGGCAGUACAAGGGGAGGUGGGUCUUUUUUUCACCUUUAAAAAAAUCAAAUUGUAGGCCGGGUGUGGUGGCGCACGCCUUUAAUCCCAGCACUCGGGAGGCAGAGGCAGGCGGAUUUCUGAGUUCAAGGCCAGCCUGGUCUACAAAGUGAGUUCCAGGAUAGCCAGAGCUAUACAGAGAAACCCUGUCUCGGAAAAAAAAAAUCAAACUGUAAACCGAACAGUAAAAUUAUUUUUAAUAUCUUUAAUUUGUAGGGUUUUGUUUUUUUGACAUUGCUUAGACUGAUUUUCUUAGAAUCAUGUGAACAACAAUUCAGUCUAAGGGCAAUCUCUGCCAGUCUGAUGUCCAGCAAGGUCAUGGUGCCAUCAGGGGCCACUGGAGUAGUUUGCACUGCUUGGGGUUUCUCAGUUGGUUUUUCAGGGGAGAGCUGGCUUUAAAAAUAUCUCAGGUUCUGAGUAUUUAAAGCUCUUGAUUUUCCUCCUAAGAUAGCACACCCUCCCCUCCCCUCCCCUCCCCUCUUCCUUCCCCCUCCCCUGUCCAUUCCUCCCCUUCUCUCCUCCUCCCUGUUUCUCUCCUCCUUCCCCCUCCCUUCCUCUCCUCUCCUCCUUUGGCUGUCUACCCAUGUCUGUCUCUGUCGUGCUCCCCACUUCACCAUUAGUACACCUGCUGCUGAUUUGGUCAGAUCCCAGACUAAAUUAUAGGUUGCUUUGAACACAUCAGCCCUCUCAUUUAUUGCAAUGAGGGAGAAGUGAAAAGCUCUCGUGCCAUCUACCUAAUUUAGCUUUGGGUGAACUAAAUGGCUUUCCCCUCCCUUCGGCAAGUGCUAAACACUACAGUUCCACUUUAUCCAAAUGCUCACUUGCUGCCAAAACCCUACUUGGGGGCUCUUGACUAAAAUGCUCAAGAGACUACAUUUGGCCAGCUGCAGAGCUCCUUGGUGGUUUUCUUCAGCUGCUUAGGGAGCCGAUCCAUUCUUUCCCUCCUGAGGACCUUCUUUUGUUUGUUAGUUUGGGACAGGGUCUCAGUGUGUAGCUCUGGCUGGUCUAGAAGUUACUAUGUUGAGUGGGUUGGCCUCAAACUUAUAGAGAUCUGCUUGCCUCUGCCCCCACAGUGUGUUGGGAUAAGAGGAGCAUACCACCCGGCCUGGCAUGAUUUCCUUUCAUUGGGUGGAUUUUUUUCUCUCUCCUUUAUUUCCUUGUUAUUUAUUUAUUUGUGGUUUUGGCCUUAAUAUUUGUGAGCUAGGUUCUUGAGUUCAGCUAACAUUUUAGACCACGGAUUGGUUAAGCAAAGGGAAGGAAGAGGAGGGGGCCCUUUUCUAAUAAGGGAACCAUUUUCAGCUUUGCAGGCCAUUCUGGUUGCCGCUUCUGUAGGAAUAGACACACUGUUCCAUUGGGAUUUGAUUCAUCAGCACAGGGUGUGGCUUGCUGCCUCAGGCUGGGAUGGCAAGAUUCUCUGCUUAGAGCCAGUGGAGCAGCCUUCCAGUUUGGAUAGUUAGUGUGAGGUCUAAGCCAGCGUGCUGUGUCCCCUUAGCUGCCCUGUCUACCAUGUGUAUCUGUUUCUGCACGGCCAGCGCUAAGCUGAGAUUGCUUCACUGUGUGGAUUUAAGCUACGAGUUGUUGCCCCUUUUCGUUACUCUGCUGGACCCAGGACUGAAGGCCGGCUCAUCCCAGGGGCUGGAGUGUGGCCGGCUGAUGGGUUUCUCUGCCUUGCCCCAGAUCACAUGCCUUUCCUGGGGGUGUAUAUUCCAUGACUGUUCCCUGUGAAGGGUCGAGAGCCUGGUCUCUCCAACACUACUUUGGGGACAGCUCCAGAGCUCCCUUUGGGGCUCCUAAGACCUUCCUGUGCUUGCCCUGCAACAACUGGUCUUCCCCUCCCAGGUGUCCAUCCCAGCAGUGUCCCUCAGAAGGCCUUCCUGCAUGACACUUUUGUCUCCAGUCUGCUCCUCCAAAAGUGCCCCUGUAUUCUCCUGUUAGCACAGGCUAGAGCUCCAAUGUAGGCCCAUUUCCUCACUGUUUCGUGUCGUGGGAUGACUGUGCCUGUGUGGUAUCAGGCACAAUAAAUACAAAGUAGGUUUACUAUUUAUUCGGAAUGUGAAUUUGCUAUUUAUUCUACGUGUUGAUUGUCUAUGUUGUGAUAAUGAACUUAAAGCCAAAUAAAAGCUUGAGUUGUAUCUCCUGG